UACGUAGGUGGCAAGCGUUGUCCGGAUUUAUUGGGUUUAAAGGGUGCGUAGGCGGUCUGUUAAGUCAGUGGUGGAAUACUUCAGCUCAACUGGAGAGGUGCCAUUGAAACUGGCAGACUUGAGUAUUGGAGGGGGUGGUGGAAUUCCCGGUGUAGAGGUGAAAUUCGUAGAUAUCGGAAGGAAUACCAGUGGCGAAGGCGGCCCCCUGGCCAGAGACUGACGCUCAGAUGCGAAAGCGUGGGGAGCAAACAGG
rnacentral:rRNA from 1 species